rnacentral:rRNA from 1 species
AUUGAACGCUGGCGGCAGGCCUAACACAUGCAAGUCGAACGAGUGGCGGACGGGUGAGUAAUGCCUGGGAACCUGCCCGAUGGUGGGGGAUAACUACUGGAAAUGGUAGCUAAUACCGCCUAUCAUCGUAUCUGCCCCGAUGGGAUUAGCUGGUAGGAGGGGUAACGGCUCACCUAGGCGACGAUCCCUAGCUUGUCUGAGAGGAUGACCAGCCACAAGGGGACUGAGACACGGUCCGGACUCCUACGGGAGGCAGCAGUGGGGAAUAUUGCGCAAUGGGCGCAAGCCUGAUGCAGCCAUGCCGCGUGUAUGAAGAAGGCCUUCGGGUUGUAAAGUACUUUCAGCGAGGAGGCGUUACUCGCAGAAGAAGCACCGGCUAACUCCGUGCCAGCAGCCGCGGUAAUAC